GAUGUGGGUUAAGUCCCGCAACGAGCGCAACCCUCGACCUUAGUUGCCAGCAUUCAGUUGGGCACUCUAAGGUGACUGCCGGCUAAAAGUCGGAGGAAGGUGGGGAUGACGUCAAAUCAUCAUGCCCCUUAUGACCUGGGCUACACACGUGCUACAAUGGGCGGUACAAAGGGUCGCGAACCCGCGAGGGGGAGCCAAUCCCAAAAAGCCGCUCUCAGUUCGGAUUGCAGGCUGCAACUCGCCUGCAUGAAGCCGGAAUCGCUAGUAAUCGCGGAUCAGCAUGCCGCGGUGAAUACGUUCCCGGGCCUC
rnacentral:rRNA from 1 species